CCGGACCCACUCAGAGGUGGCAUCACUUGGAUUACUUUCAAUUAGUUUUUGGUGUGAAACUUCAAAGUGGAAAGCAAGGUGAGUGUCGUUGUCACAAUUAUUUACUAUUUGCUUUAUUAAACUGAUCUUUGUCAUCCAAUCUCGAUUCAAAUUUCGACAAUGUUUGAUUGAUUAAGUUUAAAAUAAUCAAGUUUUAUUUAUAUAAUUUUCUAACCCAUAAUCGCCCCCAUAGAAACAUCGACCCAUGCAAACAAAGCUUCCAAGGAAAUGUCCACACGGUACGGGUUCUGGUGGAAUGUCAUCCUGGACAUCGUAUCCGGAUCCGGAUCCCGGAUACGCUCAGAGGUGGCUUCACUUGGAUUACUUUUAAUCGGUUUUCGGUGUGAUAGUUCAAAGUGGAAAGCAAGGUGAGUACCGUUGUCACCACUAUUUACUAUUUGCUUAUUAAACUGAGUUUGUCAGAGAGGCUGACUACAAUAAGUGAUGAGGUUUAAGAAGAACAGCAUUGUGCAUUUCCUGAUCUCACACCAAAAAUUUUAUAAAUUUAAACGUGCCAGAAAUGCUUAAAGACAUAAAAUUUUUGUGCCAUAAUCUUGGAAAGAUAUAAUUCUACAUCACUUCCAAUUGAAACAACACAAGCACUCACACACAGCUCCAACUAAUAAAAUUAUACGAACCAUAAAGUUUAAAACAUCCAGUUUGGUUAACACAUUCACAUUUUAUCUAAACCUUCACUGUAAUCUUACAAGUCAAAAACAAUUUUUCUUUAAAUUACGUGUCAAAUAACUCAAAUUACCGAAUGAAAAAAAUCUAGUGCACAUAGUUUCCCGGCAUCGAAAAGAGAAACGUCAAAAUUGUGGUUUUAUUUUGGUCGUUCCUUUUUUGUUGUUUUGGUUCGAGUGUUGUUUUGUUUUGUGCUCGCGCAGUCAAAAUUUCAUCCAGUGGUUGCUUGCGCUUUCCGUUUCAGUGGCACUGAUAGUUUCAGGUGGUUCCAGUUUAAAAAUUUGAAUGGAAAAAAACCGAAUAAAACUAGGGAAUCCUAAACUUGUCCGAAUUCACCAUACCAGCAGAAACCACACAAUCAACAGCUCCAGCCGGACCUAACAGCGCAGCGAAAAGUGGACUUAAUUCCGUAAAACCGUCCAGUAGGCAUAAUCAAAAGGCAUUUGGAAUCAAUACCAUUUCGUACCAGUUCUGUACCAGUCCGACAUUUUGUUGUACCAGAGUUUCUAUGUAAUCCAGAACCUCCGGAGAUUAUGCACCCUUCUAUCAGAGAGCUCUGUCAUCAGUUCACGAGAUCGUGGCAAAAACUGUGUUUAUCAACGAACGGAUUAAUUCAUUUUUCGAAGUAUGUUUUCAUAUUCUGAUUUUGUAAGAUUUUGCUAAUAGACAUUUUCUUUCAGAUUUCCUUGCAACGUGACUGACUGUAGUAGCAUCGCAAGUUUAACAUGACUGGUUUUUGACCGUAGCUGGAGUAGCGAGCGAUAUCUCAAGGUCGUUUCUGUUGAGAAAAUUUUUCCUCACCAAAUAGAUACGCUUCGACAACUGGAUGCACACCUUUUUACAUGGAUGCAAUGGGGAUAAUAAAUUCAAUUACCUAGUGAAAUUCAAAUGGCGAUCAAGUGGACAACAUUUAUUUUGUUAAAGAUAAGAACUGCAACUGGAAAUUAUCACGAGCUUUGUCCACUUUGGUUGACGAAUAGUGGAUAAUGUGCAACAAGAGACCCAUAGUGGUCAUAUCACCUCCUUUUCACAACUUAUAUCUUAACCUCCCGUGGUGUCGGCUGGGAUGGGAUGCGAGUAACCUAAGCGGAGAUCGCGUACCCUAACUUGGUGGAUGCUUUCGUCGCAGAUCGAUGCAGAUUGAGAAGGUGGCCGCACGCGUCUAUUCUACAGGUCCAGGGGCAGCGUGAAACAACAACCGAGCGUCUUGUUGUUUGUGCCAAUAACACAAAAACCGGCGUCUAGCUUAACGUUGGCUUUGUUCCGAAUUAUCGAGUCGGCCGGUGGAUUGUCAUCGAUAGACAUGAAAAUUCGCAACUUGGACUACACACUCUGUGAUUGCGAUUAACCAGGACCUUAUCUGUUCUACAAGUAUCAAUCACCAGAUAACGGAGGGUGGUAAAAAUCUAUCGGUGGGACAGCGGCAGCUGAUCUGUCUAGCCCGUGCCUAAGACUGCGUAAGACUGAGGUUCUGAUUUUGGAAGAAGCUACCGCGGCGUAGAAACUCUCAUUUAGGAAACCAUUCGUACGGAGUUCAAGAUUGUACGGUACUCACGCACGAUAGCACAUAGUCUGAAUACUAUCAUGGACUCGGACAAGGUCAUCGUUUGGCCAGGGGCAGAUCACAGAAUACGCCGCACCGAAUAAACUGCUAUAAGACGAGCAAUCGGCUUUCUACAUCUGUUGUUACAAAUUAAGCUGAUUCCAUUAUGCACUCCGAAGUCAAAAAAUACAUUGACAUGUGAUAAUUUAGCGACAGUUGGAGCUGCCUUCACAGCAGUUGGACCAGUUUAGGAAAAAAUCCUCACUGAUCAGUUCUGGUCAGGGAACCGAUAUUCGUAAUGGUGUCCAAUAAUGCCGUAAUAAGAGCAACAAAUAGAGCUUUGGUCAAGGUAUUUUAGGGAAAUGAAUCUUCGUGACGCAUCGGUUUGAGCUAACGACCAGAAAACCGUCAUGAAGCGCCGGACCACAUGCCCUUCCAGCCACCGGUGAACAUGAAUCACCGGAUUCA